rnacentral:rRNA from 1 species
UGGGGAAUAUUGGACAAUGGGCGCAAGCCUGAUCCAGCCAUGCCGCGUGGGUGAAGAAGGCCUUCGGGUUGUAAAGCCCUUUUGUUGGGGAAGAAAUCAUGCAGGUGAAUAUCCUGCGCGGAUGACGGUACCCAAAGAAUAAGCACCGGCUAACUUCGUGCCAGCAGCCGCGGUAAUACGAAGGGUGCAAGCGUUACUCGGAAUUACUGGGCGUAAAGCGUGCGUAGGCGGUUCGUUAAGUCCGUUGUGAAAGCCCUGGGCUCAACCUGGGAAUUGCAGUGGAUACUGGCGAGCGAGAGUACGGUAGAGGAUGGUGGAAUUCCCGGUGUAGCGGUGAAAUGCGUAGAGAUCGGGAGGAACACCCGUGGCGAAGGCUGCCAUCUGGACCAGUACUGACGCUGAGGCACGAAAGCGUGGGGAGCAAACA